rnacentral:rRNA from 1 species
UACGAAGGGGGCUAGCGUUGCUCGGAAUUACUGGGCGUAAAGGGCGCGUAGGCGGCACUGUUAGUCAGGCGUGAAAUUCCUGGGCUCAACCUGGGGACUGCGCUUGAUACGGCAGAGCUAGAGGAUGGAAGAGGCUCGCGGAAUUCCCAGUGUAGAGGUGAAAUUCGUAGAUAUUGGGAAGAACACCGGUGGCGAAAGCGCUCUGCUGGACUGCAACUGACACUCAGGGACGAAAGCUAGGGGAGCGAAUGGG